rnacentral:rRNA from 1 species
AUUGAACGCUGGCGGCAUGCUUUACACAUGCAAGUCGAACGGCAGCGCGGGGCAACCUGGCGGCGAGUGGCGAACGGGUGCGUAAUAUAUCGGAACGUACCCAGAAGUGGGGGAUAACGUAGCGAAAGUUACGCUAAUACCGCAUACGAUCUACGGAGGAAAGCGGGGGACCGCAAGGCCUUAUGCUUUUGGAGCGGCCGAUAUCUGAUUAGCUAGUUGGUGAGGUAAAGGCUCACCAAGGCGACGAUCAGUAGCUGGUCUGAGAGGACGACCAGCCACACUGGAACUGAGACACGGUCCAGACUCCUACGGGAGGCAGCAGUGGGGAAUUUUGGACAAUGGGCGCAAGCCUGAUCCAGCAAUGCCGCGUGAGUGAAGAAGGCCUUCGGGUUGUAAAGCUCUUUUGUCAGGGAAGAAACGGUAGAGGCUAAUAUCCUUUGCUAAUGACGGUACCUGAAGAAUAAGCACCGGCUAACUACGUG